AGAGUUUGAUCCUGGCUCAGGAUGAACGCUAGCGGCAGGCUUAAUACAUGCAAGUCGUGGGGCAGCAGGUUUGUAGCAAUACAGAUGCUGGCGACCGGCAAACGGGUGCGGAACACGUACGCAACCUUCCUCCAACUGGAAGAUAGCCCACCGAAAGGUGGAUUAAUACUCCAUAACAUAUUAGAGUGGCAUCACUUUGAUAUUAAAGCUCCGGCGGUUAGAGAUGGGCGUGCGUCUGAUUAGGUAGUUGGCGGGGUAACGGCCCACCAAGCCUGCGAUCAGUAGCUGAUGCGAGAGCAUGAUCAGCCACACGGGCACUGAGACACGGGCCCGACUCCUACGGGAGGCAGCAGUAAGGAAUAUUGGUCAAUGGACGCAAGUCUGAACCAGCCAUGCCGCGUGAAGGAUUAAGGUCCUCUGGAUUGUAAACUUCUUUUCUCUGGGACGAAACCCCCUGUAUCCACAGGGCCUGACGGUACCAGAGGAAUAAGCACCGGCUAACUCCGUGCCAGCAGCCGCGGUAAUACGGAGGGUGCAAGCGUUAUCCGGAUUCACUGGGUUUAAAGGGUGCGUAGGUGGACAUUUAAGUCAGUGGUGAAAUCUUUGGGCUUAACCCGAAAACUGCCAUUGAUACUAUUUGUCUUGAAUUCUCUGGAGGUAAGCGGAAUAUGUCAUGUAGCGGUGAAAUGCUUAGAUAUGACAUAGAACACCCAUUGCGAAGGCAGCUUACUACGGAGACAUUGACACUGAGGCACGAAAGCGUGGGGAUCAAACAGGAUUAGAUACCCCGGUAGUCC
rnacentral:rRNA from 1 species